ACUCUCAGCUGCUCUGUAAUGCAAGUCGACAGGAAAAUCUACAAGGGCUUCACGGUCUUCUUUCUAGAAAAAUCCCAACAAGGGUUUGAUAGUAAAAAGUACUUCGUAGUCAUUUUCAAAUAGGGGAGAAUUUCCUGAAGUAUGCAGCAUCUGCUCUGCCGGGUUUGCAAUCUGUGCACAGGUAUUGCAGUUAAUGAGCCACCGGCUUGCCGCUUCCAGGGCCAGGCUGGAGCAGUCAGCUGGUGGAAUGAUGGGAACUGCAAUCGGCAGCUCUGCACCAACGUGCCCCGGGUUGGAAAAUGUGAUUUGUGACAGAGAAGCUUGGGAAUAAUAAUGAAAACAUAAUUGCUCCAGAAGAGGCAGAGGAUGUUGACACAAACUUACAGACUGGGACUCCAAGGAUCAGCCAGAUGAAAUGCUAUGUGCAGAGUCUUCAUUUCCCAGCUCAGUGGUGGACAGCAGAGGACUCUAAGAGACCAGGAACUGCAUUUGGAUUUAAAGAAACAAAACUUUCUGGCACCUACUGUGAUCCAGCCACCUCUUGGGAUGCACACGUUUCUCUUCAACUGCGUGAUGUGAACUGCGUCACAUGGUCAAAUUAUAAUGAAGAAAGGAACCUCUCUUGAGUACAAAGAGCUACCUAUGGUGGUCUGGAGCCGGAGGACCACAGCAUCAAAGGAUAUAAGAUGCAUAGCCAACUGAGGAACCUGAGCAAUUAAAGAGAUCCACAGUUAAGUCACACUUAACUGGCACUUGUGGAAGCCCCGCAAGGCCUGAAGGAGAGCUGACAUAGGCACCCCAGAGAGCCAGAAUCUGGAUCCCAUCUUAAUAAGGCCAUGAACACCAGUGGAGAAGAGGCAGAAACACCAAUGGAUAAGGAACAUUCACAUCUUUCUUCCCAUGUGCCUCUAAGUGCCAGUGCAGGCCCCACAGGCCAAGCUACAGGGAGAAAGGAGAUGACGCAAAGGAACCUAACUGGACUUUAAUCACUAGAAGUGAGAAGAGAAAUCUAUUGGAACCUCCCAAGAUAAUGCCAAGGGUCAAAGGGUGCGCAGAUACAUAAGAGGUGCUUAUUUAGCAAAUUCAACCUUAAACCUGAGUGCAUGGAAACUAUUGAUGCAGUGUCCAAGGUGGAGAAAGGUCAGAGUGGAUCCAGAGGAGCCAAGAGAAGACGUCCAGCAUGGUGACCUGGGCUCAAGUCAAGGUCCUUAUUUCUCUGAUUUCUGUUCAGAAAACACAUCUUCAGGAAAAUCACCCCUGACUCACCCAGGCUAAGUCACAAGCUUUUGUUAUAAGGUCUCAUCACACCAUAUGCCUCUCUUUCAAAACCAGCACCUGCAGAAAUGUAAGUGUACAUUGAUUUAUGUAAGUAUUUGAAUUAUGACUGUUUUUGUAUAUGUCCAUGAGCUCCCUGAAGGCAAGUACUUUGUCUGCUUCCGCCUGUUUCAUAACUAUCAUGCCUAACACACAAUAACCUCUCAAUUAAUAGCCAAGUUUAUUAGCAAAAAAAAUUGACUGAAAAAGUGAAUGAACGAAAA
ensembl:lncRNA PCAT1 prostate cancer associated transcript 1